GUCUGACGAGGAGAAUCUGUCAAAAAGUGAGAGUGAAUCUGACGUCAGCGACGAGUCGGGCAGUGAAGGAUAUUCAGAUGUGGAAAACGAUUGUCAGUUUUAUGGGAAAGAGCCCUGCAGGUAUUACAACAGCAGCAGCGGCUGUAAGGACGGUGACAGGUGCUCUUAUUUGCACUUCUGCAAGUACGCCCUGACCGGACGCUGUCGCAACGGGUCGAAGUGUAAACUCAAACACCCCGAAGGUGGAGGAGAGUCCUCUGGUGCAAGAAACAGAGCCUCGGACCAAUCAGCAUCCAGCAGUGAGGAGGAGAGAAAAGAGCCAAAGCUCACUGAUGGCCGGUUCUACCAGUGGCAGCUGAAGGAUGGAAACGGCUGGCUGGAUGUUGCUAAUGAUCACAUCCUGGAGGCUCAGUACUCGCUGCCACACACCAAGAGUAUUAAAAUCUACAACACACCAUACGGGUAAGAGCUAAACACGG